rnacentral:tRNA from 1 species
GGAGUGGUGGCUGAGCGGCAGAGCGCUUGGCUUCCGAACCGAGGGACCCGGGUUCGAAUCCUGGGUGCCUCU